rfam:Gorilla gorilla gorilla genomic chromosome, chr5, whole genome shotgun sequence
GGACGUGAGAGUUAUCUGGCUGCCGCUCCACUGAGUGCCAGGGUUGAUUCAGCUGAUCUGGCUGGCUAGGCGGGUGUCCCCUUCCUCCCGCACUGCUUCAUGUGCAUCUCUCCCGAAGCCAUGUGCAUCUCUCCCGAAGCCGUGUGCUUGGUUGAAGAGGACGAACUUGUCCCCAGUCCAGGGUAUAUGAGUAGCUGCAUUCCCCUGCUGGAACCUCCAAAUAAGCUCUCAAGGGCAGGAGGAGAUCUUAUUUACAUUAUUGUCUCUUCUCAUUGUAUUUGUUCCAUU